AUCGCUUCUCGGCCUUUUGGCUAAGAUCAAGUGUAGUAUCUUUUAUUGGUGUAUCAGUCAGGGUCCACAGAAACCACACCCUAAUGUGAACAGGGAAAUUUUAAUAUAAUUAUUAACUGUGCCAGGGGAUUACCUUCC
rnacentral:snRNA from 1 species